GACGGAGGGGGCUAGCGUUGUUCGGAAUGACUGGGCGUAAAGGGCGCGUAGGCGGUAUAAUAAGUGAGGCGUGAAAGCCCUGGGCUUAACCCAGGAGGUGCGUUUCAUACUGUUAUGCUAGAGUGCGAGAGAGGAAAGUGGAAUUCCUAGUGUAGAGGUGAAAUUCGUAGAUAUUAGGAAGAACACCAGAGGCGAAGGCGGCUUUCUGGCUCGCAACUGACGCUGAGGCGCGAAAGCGUGGGGAGCAAAC
rnacentral:rRNA from 1 species